UGGGGAAUAUUGCACAAUGGGGGAAACCCUGAUGCAGCAACGCCGCGUGAGUGAAGAAGUAUUUCGGUAUGUAAAGCUCUAUCAGCAGGGAAGAAAAUGACGGUACCUGACUAAGAAGCUCCGGCUAAAUACGUGCCAGCAGCCGCGGUAAUACGUAUGGAGCAAGCGUUAUCCGGAAUUACUGGGUGUAAAGGGAGCGCAGGCGGUUUAGCAAGUCUGAUGUGAAAACCCGGGGCUCAACCCCGGACCUGCAUUGGAAACUGUUAAACUAGAGUGCCGGAGAGGUAAGUGGAAUUCCUAGUGUAGCGGUGAAAUGCGUAGAUAUUAGGAGGAACACCAGUGGCGAAGGCGGCUUACUGGACGGUAACUGACGCUGAGGCUCGAAAGCGUGGGGAGCAAACAGG
rnacentral:rRNA from 1 species